rnacentral:rRNA from 1 species
CGAACGGUAACCGCUUCGGUGGGGAUCAGUGGCGAACGGGUGAGUAACACGUGGGCAACCUGCCCCUGGCUCUGGGAUAACUCCAAGAAAUUGGGGCUUAAUACCGGAUAUGACCGCUGACCGCAUGGUCUGGUGGUGGAAAGAUUUAUCGGCUGGGGAUGGGCCCGCGGCCUAUCAGCUUGUUGGUGGGGUAGUGGCCUACCAAGGCGACGACGGGUAGCCGGCCUGAGAGGGUGACCGGCCACACUGGGACUGAGACACGGCCCAGACUCCUACGGGAGGCAGCAGUGGGGAAUAUUGCGCAAUGGGCGGAAGCCUGACGCAGCGACGCCGCGUGGGGGAUGACGGCCUUCGGGUUGUAAACCUCUUUCAGCAGGGACGAAGCGGAAGUGACGGU